rnacentral:snoRNA from 1 species
CCCCUCUCAGGGUCGCACCUGCAGAGUUUCCAGUACUCCACCAGUCUCGACUACAGGAGGGAGAGUCAAACAGAGGCCUCCCCAUUCCAUUCCUAGCUUGGGCAGUGGCUAGCAAGUGGAAAGCAAUCUAUUACAAGU